AAUGUUUUCCACACUCUCCCCUUGUAAGUCUUGUCCUAUACUUGCAUGGUCUACCCUAAGUCUUAUUAUGGCUAAUGCAUGUUGGCUCACCAUUUAAAUUCAGUACGUCACUGCAUCUUCUUCUAGAAGGGCUCUGAUUCUAGCUGUGAGGGCGUGUGUGUACAGUGCUGCGGAAGAGAGAGAGUUUCGAGAGCAGAAAGCCGAAGUUCCUCCUGAGACUACAAAGCGUGAGGAGCGGAUGAUGACAGCUGCAGGGACAGCUGCGGAGAGACCUUUCAUCCAGCUCACAGGGUGCUUUCUUCUCCCAAUAGGAGGAUGGCGACUCUUGUCUCAUCAGCCCAGUCUCCCCUCAGGAACUCAUAUCAAGUAGGCAGAGACGACCAGCUCAGCAAGAUGAGGUCUGUUUGAAGAAGUAUUUUUCCAAGUUGUCACAAUUAAUUAACAUUUAUGAAAUAUUCUCAUUGCAUUUCCUUCCAUAAAUAGGCAAAGGAGCAAAGUGAUCAUCAUCAUUCCAAUUUCUCAUGACCUUUUCCAAAUGCCUUUAAAGAUAUGUCUCUGUUCUGAGUCUUGAUCUGAAAAUGGGUAACUCCUUUACAUUGUCAGUAAUAAUGGGAGCACAAGGGCAAAAAUGGCAGUAACAGUCUCUCCCCAGACUUCUAAUUAACAAGUGCAAACUUAACCUUUCAAACUUUAAAACAGUACUUUUCAAACUUUUAAAUAAUUGCUUUUCAAACUUUAAAAUAAUAGAUAAAUGUUAGCAAUAUCUUGAUCUUUCUAAUAUGAAAUGUACCUGAAGUUCUGUCUAUUAAAAAUAGAAUUAAAUCUGUAAAUUUAUCUAAACCAAUGAAUGCAAACUGGCUGACUAAUUGAAAUAAAUUGAUCAUCAAAUAUUCUAUUCAGUUAUAAGCUAUUAUUGGUCUUAAUAAUUAGGGUAAUGUACAGAAAGAGCUCACUGCUUAAAAAAUACUGUUAAGUAUCACUGUAGCAUU